GUGCUCGCUUCAACAGCACAUACACUAAAAUCAGAACGAUAAAGAUUAGCAUGGCCCCUGAGCUAGGAUGACACACAAAUUUGUGAAGCGUUCCAUAUUUAA